CAAAAACAUGAAAAAAUUCAUUUCUGGCAAUAUAUAUAUAUAUUUUUUAAAAGCAACCACUGUACAUAUCAUGGCCUAGUUGUAAAGAAUCAUUAUUUAGGUUGGUAUAUUAAAAUAGUCUGGGAGAGCUCACAGGAUAACAUUUGAAGACAAUAUGGGUUCUGAAUGAAAGGGUCAAGAUCCCAUAUAAAUUAAUGAAAAAUAUAGAUCCACAGAAAAUGUAGUGGAAGUAUCGGUUGGGUGCUAGAACAAAAGGUGGAUUAAAAAUUUUACCAAGCUUUGGCUGAAAAAUUUUAACAAAUGCUAAUCAAUGAAAAGAGGAAUCCUUUAGUUCAGUUUUACCCCACAAACAGAUCACAGUGUCAUACACUAAAAAGCUGGAAGGGACAGCCAGGAUAUUUGAUUAGAGAAUCAAGGUCCCAAACAUUUGAGAUGGGUUGGAGCAAAACAAAUACAGUUUAAUACAGUUGUUGAGGACUUCUCUCUUUAGUCCAAAAAAAAAAAAAAAAGGCAACUGCAUAAUCAAAGGAUGGUAAAGCUAUAUAGUAUACAGGGAUCAUUAGAAUUCUAGUAGCUACCAGAAAAAAAGUCUGAUGUGAAGAUGUACUAUUUUAAUGAACACUCAGGGUACAUACAGGGACAUUUCCUAGGAUUUUUCACUUUUGGAAACCACGUGUUAAGAGGGAUUUGGAUAAAUGGGAACUCUUUCCAAGAAUGUUGGUCAGAGUAGUAAAUGAAGGAAGAGGGAUGAGCUAUCUGGGAAGUAUACUGCCUAGGCACUGCUAAUGUAUUUCAUUUAAUCCCCCUUAACUCUCUAAGUGAACUCAUAUCAACUAUACAGAAAAUUUAUAUUGCUCUUUUUUACUAAAUAGAAAUUAUCAAUGAAACUUUCAAAUGGACACAGUCUUGGGAAAAUAUUUUGACAGAACUAGCUCAAGAAGAAAUAAAAAAACUUGAGAAGGUCUCUAACCAUUAAAGCGAUUCAAUCACUUGUUAAAAACUUAUUUAUAAAAAUAUCUCAAAAGGCUGAAACAUUUUUGUAUGAAAGUUCUAUGAACAGUUUCAAGCAUAUACAAACUGCACAAAAUAGAGUCUUAGGAGAAUAUUUUAUUCCCAAGUCAUUUUGUAAGGCUUGGAUAAUCUUUAUGUCAAACCAGAGAAGAGAGUAUGAUAAGGGAAGAUGAAAGGUAAAUCUUACUUGUAAAAUUAGAUGCAAAAAUCCUCAGUAAAAUAAUGAAAACUGAACCCUGCCACGUAUUUAAAAUAAUGUAUCAUGUCUGAAGAUGUUUUAUCCAACAAGUUAAAGAGUGGCUUGACAUCAGAAAAUUUAUUAAGGUAAUUCCCCACAUUAAUAGUAAAGGGAAAAAAAUUUGCUUAAUAAUUUCACACAAAAACUUCGAUAAAAUACAGUGUCUUAUUGUAAUAAAAACUCUUAGCAAACCAGAAAUACAAAGCACCUAUUUCUGACUAGAUAAAGGGGAGUCUACCAAGACCCACAGCAAAUGUCAUACUUGAUGCUGAAACAUGAGAAGUGUUUCCUUUACAUGAGAAACGAGACAUGCCUACUCUCACUACUUCUAUUCACUGUUGUACUAGAUGUCCUAACCAGAGCAGUAAAACAAGAGAAAUGAAAAUGGAAGUAUCAUAUACAUAUAUAAAUUAAAAUUAAUAUAUUUAUGUUAUAUAUAAAUUUACAGUUAGAUGAAUAUACAAUAAAACCAGUAUACAGUCUUUUCUUUGAAGCAACACUGAUCCAAAAUGUUUUUAAAUGAUGCAUAAAGACUGAAGAAAAUUAGAUUAUCUUUAUUUGUCAUGUAUGGGUUUUACAAAUAUAUUUUUUGUUUCUAUUGAGAAGUGUUGAUAUUAAUGGAAAAAAAAAAAAACAUGGGCCAAAGUCUAAAGAGUCUUUGACAUAAAAAUUCUUCAAUUAAAAUGUUUUGACUUAGAUAUAGUAUAUUUUUGUAACAAUGAUAAUUUAAAGAGAAAUUUCUGUAUGAGAAAUAGUUUAAUACGUUGGGUCCCACAGACUUUAAUCUUGCUGGGCAGUAAUGGUAUAUGAUUUGCGAGUGGCUUUCAGCUGCAUGUAACAAAAGAAAUGAAAAUGUUUUCAAUAAGAUGGAAGUUAAUUUCUUUCAUAAAGGCUAGAGAUUUAUCUGUUUUGGAGAUUAGGUGGUCUGGCUUUUCCAUAUACUCAGCAGGGACCCAGGCUCCCUCCAGGCUACCACUCUUACAUCUUUAGGUAUAACCCUUGUCCUCACGGUUCAGAACAGCUGUUAAACCUCCAGCUGCCACAUGCCCUCCUUAGCCAGCAGGCUAGAAGAACGGGCAAAGAAGGCACACGAAUAAUAUUUUGGUUUUACCUAUCGGCAGUUGAGUUUGAGACAUGUCAUCCUCUAAUUGAGCAGUAGUGUAACCAGCUACAAUUAGGGUUCUUGUGAUGAAGGAGGAAGGUAAAAAGGGAUAUUGUAAGCCUAGUGGUCCCUGUUACAGGUGGCUAUUUGACUUCAAAUAAAGCUGGUUUAAUUGUUGGAAGAUUAGAGGAGAUAUACUCAUUAUUUAAUUUCACCUUGUCCCUUUCAGUGUAGGAAUAAGUGUGUCAUUGAGCUGUUUAAGACAAUUUUGUCAUUGGGAAUAGUAAACAAACUUGCAUAGAAAUCGGAAAUAACACACCAUAAUAAGCUUCAUUAAAAUUCAGUUAUUUGGAGUGAAAUUGCCUAAUUCUUUCGGACAACUCAUGCUAACAAAUUCUACUUAGCAUAAUUGCUGGGUUAAUACUAUCUCUUUUUCCAGAUUAAAUAUUUUUGAUUCACAUUUAUUAUGGCAGUUGUCCCCUGCUCUUGGAGUAAUAGCACACUGUUUAUUUAUAUAUUCUAGGACACAGAACCAAGUCUUGUUUUUUCUACCAUUUCCACCUGCUCACUCUCAAACUGUUAUAUAUUUUUUAAAAUUUUUAUUUAUUUAUGAUAGUCACACACACAGAGAGGCAGAGACAUAGGCAGAGGGAGAAGCAGGCUCCAUGCACCGGGAGCCCGACGUGGGAUUCGAUCGCAGGUCUCCAGGAUCGCGCCCUGGGCCAAAGGCAGGCGCUAAACUGCUGCGCCACCCAGGGAUCCCUUUUAUUUUUAUUUUUAUUUUUUUUUUUAAUUUUUGUUUAUUUAUGAUAGUCAAACUGUUAUAAACACACACAGUGAGACUGUUGUUUCUGUACUUUGUAGUGCAAGCAUCAUUAUUUCCUCAUUAUUAAAAAAAAAAAUCAAGACUAAGUAGUCAUCAGAACAUGUGCAGCCUGUGUUUUCUGCCCUUUAAAGAUCAUGGCAGUUUUGUUGUGUGUACAUAAAGACUUCAACAACUUUAAAGGUUAAGAGUGGGAGGUGCGAAUUUUAGUGCUUCAAGUAAAUUUAGAGAGUAUUCCCAAGUAUUUCUCUCACUUGGCAUUUCUUGACUUUACCGAGGGGCAAAAAUGAACAUUUGCAAAAAUAUAGAGCAUUCCUUACAAAUAUUUAUGAAUUUGGUCAGAAUCUCACUAGGACUGUUAUUUUUAUUUAUUUAUUUUUAAGAUUUUAUUU
rnacentral:lncRNA from 1 species